GACGAACGUUGGCGGCGUGCCUAACACAUGCAAGUUGAGCGUGGCCCCUUCGGGGGUACACGAGCGGCGGACGGCUGAGUAACACGUAGGAACGUACCCCAAACUGAGGGAUAAGCACCAGAAAUGGUGUCUAAUACCGCAUGUGCUCUUCGGAGUAAAGCUACGGCGGUUUGGGAACGGCCUGCGUCUGAUUAGAUAGUUGGUGAGGUAAUGGCUCACCAAGUCGACGAUCAGUAGCUGGUCUGAGAGGAUGAUCAGCCAGACUGGGACUGAGAACGGCCCAGACUCCUACGGGAGGCAGCAGUAGGGAAUUUUCCACAAUGGACGAAAGUCUGAUGGAGCAACGCCGCGUGCAGGAUGAAUGCCUUCGGGUUGUAAACUGCUUUUAUCUGUGACGAUUAUGACGGUAGCAGAUGAAUAAGGAUCGGCUAACUCCGUGCCAGCAGCCGCGGUAA
rnacentral:rRNA from 1 species